rnacentral:rRNA from 1 species
ACCAGACUCCUACGGGAGGCAGCAGUGGGGAAUAUUGCACAAUGGGGGGAACCCUGAUGCAGCGACGCCGCGUGAGUGAAGAAGUAUUUCGGUAUGUAAAGCUCUAUCAGCAGGGAAGAAAAUGACGGUACCUGACUAAGAAGCCCCGGCUAACUACGUGCCAGCAGCCGCGGUAAUACGUAGGGGGCAAGCGUUAUCCGGAUUUACUGGGUGUAAAGGGGGCGCAGACGGCAGCGCAAGCCAGGAGUGAAAGCCCGGGGCCCAACCCCGGGACUGCUCUUGGAACUGCGCGGCUGGAGUGCAGGAGGGGCAGGCGGAAUUCCUGGUGUAGCGGUGAAAUGCGUAGAUAUCAGGAGGAACACCGGCGGCGAAGGCGGCCUGCUGGACCGUGACUGACGUUGAGGCUCGAGAGCGUGGGGAGCAAACAGGAUUAGAUACCCUCGUA